GUGAUCGUAGCUCAGUUGGUAGAGCCCCGGAUUGUGAUUCCGGUUGUCGCGGGUUCGAGCCCCGUCGUUCACC
rnacentral:tRNA from 1 species